CUUUGUAUGUCUCAAUAUAAUGGUAUUAUUUAAUUAAAUCCAUUUACAAUAAUCUUUGUCUGAAAAUAAAAUAUGAUCCUCAACUGCGUUUCCCCUCCAGUCAGCAGACGGCGAUGUGCGUCUUUCAGGCGACGCUGCCAGCGUGACGUAUAAUCUAGUGGACGGUUCUUCAUAAACAGCUCGUCAACCACCUCGGUAGCAUGCUAGCCAACAUAGCCGAAAGAUUCAAGCUAUUUAUACGCUUUCGGUGUAUAUUACCUACUGUGUUUCAGCCACACUUCUGUCGUAUCAACUUGUUAACCUAUUUAAUUUAAUAUUACGUUAUUUUGUAUUAGUCAGCUAUAGUAGUUGGCUGGUUUAGUUAGUACUAGCCUAGUCGCUAAUGAUAGCUAGCUAGCUAACAUCCCCGAACAUGAGCUCCCUAAACAUCUCCCCUCUCGUUGAAGAAGAGGCAGUCUGCUGGACGGAGAAAGAAGCUUUGGGGCAGAACAUUGUCGUGAAAGAGGAGGAAGAAGAGGAGGAUGUCACAGUAAAACAAGAAGUAGAGGAUGGGGCUGUUACAGUGAAAGAAGAGGAAGACACGUUCAGAGUGAAAGAGGAGGAGGAUGUUACAGUAAAAGAAGAGACGGAUGAGAAAGAGGAGGAUGUAGUUUUAGGUGUGAAAGAAGAGGAGGUUGGAGAUCUGUUUAACACCAGUAAGUACCGUCUCUGCAGUCGUUGAACCAAUAUGCAGUAAAGGGGUUCUACACUUUAAUGUUGUUCUGUAGGAAUGGCUGAAGCUACACUGUAACGUGUAGAACAUCAAGAGUGGACCAUCAACAAAACGUUAACAAUUGAUCAAAUGCAUCCAAUGACAAUGCCUGAAAUACUGUAGUCCUCAAUAUCUCCUAUUAGAUUAGCCCAAUAUGUAGUCUUAAAGGGGCAAUCAGCAGUUGUUACAUCCAUUUUGGGACUUAUACAUUAAUGAUAUGUACCCAUUGUUUCUUGAAGAAAUCACUUAUAAAUGCCUCAUGAGCUUAGUUCAACUGUCGUACCCCAUCAGAACCCAAAAUAUAAGCUUUUUUUUACUCCAAUGUUUGUCAGUAAAUAUAAACAAACACGGUAUAUCCCCAAAACAUGGUUAACUAGAAUGUUGAUAUCAUGGAUGGUUGCAUUUCUCCAGCCCCAUCCCUCAGCUUUUUACCGAAACAGGCAGGGAGUACGCUUUGUUAUUGUUUCUACUGCUGAUUGCUGCCCCCGUUACUCCUCAAGGUCCAAGGACUGAAUGUUAUUUUCAGAGGUAGACUGGCUCUGGCAGCUAAAAUAGUCAAAUAUUCCAUCUAAAUGUGAAUCGAUUCUCAACGGGCAGGGAGUACGCUUUGUUAUUGUUUCUACUGCUGAUUCUCUGCCCCCGUUACUCCUCAAAAUAAUUUCACAUAAUACUUUCUUAUCACAUAACAAUUAUUUCACACAAUACUUUCAUAUCACAUCAAAAUAAUUUAAAAUACUUUAACAUCAAAAUAAUUUCACACAAUACUUUCAUAUCACAUCUAAAUAGGUAACCAGUCUGUAUAGAUAGAUAGCUAAGUGAAUUAAAUAUCAUCAGCUGUCUAACUUCAUAUUAGCUAGCUAUCUUGAUGUAUUUAUCACUGUAAAAAACAAACUCCAAAUGCUUUUGUAGGUAGCUAGCUACCAGCCAUGGAGGAGGGUGAAAGGAUAGCAGCCCCAACUGUCAGUGAGAGAGGAGGCUAUUCUGGAUAGGGCAGGUACUUUUGUGUAGUUCCUGUCACUAGAAGUGAGGACGGAGAUAAUAGUAACAUAAUAUUCAGUGUGGUGUAAUUUGACUAUAAUGAAGUGUGUUUCUUGUGAGGUUUUCUUUCCUCAGAUAAAGAGCGCUAUGAAAGCCAGUCUACAUAUGAAGAGGUCCCAGUGAAGAGCAGUGGUUCUCAGUCCUGGGGACUCAAAGAGGCACAUUGUUGUUUUUGCCUCAGCACUGCACAGCUGAUUCAAAUGAUCAACUUAUCAUCAAGCUUCAAGUGGUAUUUAUGUAGUCAUUUGUGAUGCCAUCCUUGAUAUGAUCCUGUUAUUGUCACAUGCUACACAUGUACAUAUAUGUGCCCAUGCAUCUAUCAAUCCAAUGUUAUCAUGAUUUGUUAUCAGGGAUAUUAUACUUUAGUAAUCCACAAUGACCUGGUGAUGUAAAAGUCUAAUAAUGACAUUGUCUUCCAUAUUCCUACAGAUACCUUGUAACUGGAGAUUCCUUCAAAACGAUUGCCUACAGUUACCGUGUAGGGCACUGCAAGGUUGGGUGACCAAGGUCAUCUGGGACUGCCUCCUGGAGGAAUUCAGGUGUGUGAAGGCUACCUGUGUCCUGCGUAACUUCAUGAGGAUGGACACGAGGACCAGGAGGGGAUCUGCAGCUCGCCACCGUGUCCCAGGGGAGGAGUCUGCUGCUCUGCAGGAUGUUUCAAGGAUGGGGUCCAACAACGCAGCAAGAGAGGCAAUCCGUGUGCAGGAGAUCUUCACCUCCUACUUCUUCAAAGAGGGUGCUGUUCCCUGGCAACACCAUAGACUACACUAUGCACAACCAAAGGCUCUUUUAACAGGGUGCUGUUCCCUGGCAACACCAUAGACUACACUAUGCACAACCAAAGGCUCUUUUAAGAGGGUGCUGUUCCCUGGCAACACCAUAGACUACACUAUGCACAACCAAAGGCUCUUUUAAGAGGGUGCUGUUCCCUGGCAACACCAUAGACUACACUAUGCACAACCAAAGGCUCUUUUAAGAGGGUGCUGUUCCCUGGCAACACCAUAGACUACACUAUGCACAACCAAAGGCUCUUUUAAGAGGGUGCUGUUCCCUGGCAACACCUUAGACUACACUAUGCACAACCAAAGGCUCUUUUAAGAAGGUGCUGUUCCCUGGCAACACCAUAGACUACACUAUGCACAACCAAAGGCUCUUUUAAGAGGGUGCUGUUCCCUAGCAACACCAUAGACUACACUAUGCACAACCAAAGGCUCUUUUAAGAGCUAUUCACAUUGCAAUAAGAGUAUUCUUCCAUUUACUUAGCUAUGUCAACUGCAGUUAUUCAAUUCACAGUUUCUCUCCCUUUGAUUUCUACUUCUCAGGUGAGGGUGCUGUUUAGGUGAGGGUGUGAUGUCUGUGCAAAAACAAAACAGGCUAUUUUAAAUCACUAAUAUUGAAGAAAUGUAGAACAAUUAGACAUCCUAUAACCCACACCUACACACUCAUGUAUCAAUCUGAUUGAUGGAUUGUGUUGUGCAGUAAGCAGGCUCAGGUGUAUAACUGUGGCUCCUUCCACCUUCAAAGAAUAGGCAAGAGGGCCAACCAUGGAGAAUAGUAAGACACUUCAUUAUUUCUAUAACUACGCUAUAUUGUUUGUCCUUGUGUGUCCGUUCAUGUUUUUCAGCAUAAAGUACUCUGCAGCCACUAAGUGUGGUGUGGACACCAGGUGAGGCCACACACAGAUUCCUAUUGAACACUGUGGCUUUAACUACCUUAUUUUCUCAAUAAGUCUCUAUCCUUCACUUCAUCCCUCUCUCCCCUUCUCCCUAAAUCCUCUAGGUUAUAUCAGCUGUGUCGGUGAACCCCUCCUGCAUCUGAACUGGCUACAUAGAGGGCACAGCAUGAUCAGAGAUAUGUUUUGAUGUGAGAGGAUGCCAACCCCCAGUCCCAUCAUCGCCACCUCACCUGCUUUUAAGAUAACCUUUGGGCCGACUAGAGACACUAUUAUGUAAUUGUGAUGAACUGAGAGAAUAUUUAGGUAGCACUGUGUUUCAUUAAUCAUGUGCUGCCUUCCCUGCUCCUAUGUGCUUACCUCUUUCCCUUUCUGUCUUUUACACCUCUCUCUCCAACUCCUCUUUCUUCCUCUGUUUUUAUAAUGCACAACAGAUGUGCAUUGAAGUACAGAUUGAACUUGUAUUUAUAACACUUGGAUAAUGAGCUUUUCAAUAAAGCGUUUCACAUUC